GGGCGCUUGGUCUAGGGGUAUGAUGUGAGUAGCUGUAAUGUAACAUUUGACAACCAGGCACUAAUCCGAUACCUAGUUUCGCUUCGCAUCAUUUGAACGUGUGCUUGUGAAAGGUCGUGGGUUCAAUUCCCACAGCGUCCA